rnacentral:rRNA from 1 species
CCUACGGGAGGCUGCAGUGAGGAAUAUUGGUCAAUGGGCGCGAGCCUGAACCAGCCAAGUAGCGUGAAGGAUGACUGCCCUACGGGGUGUACACUUCUUUUAUAAAGGAAUAAAGUGAGGCACGGGUGCCUUUUUGUAUGUACUUUAUGAAUAAGGAUAGGCUAACUCGGGGCCAGCAGCCGCGGUAAUACGGAGGAUCCGAGCGUUGUCCGGAUUAAUUGGGUUUAAAGGGAGCGUAGAUGGGUUGUUAAGUCAGUUGUGAAAGUUUGCGGCUCAACCGUAAAAUUGCAAUUGAUACUGGCAGUCUUGAGUACGUUUGCGGUAGGCGGAAUUCGUGGUGUAGCGGUGAAAUGCUUAGAUAUCACGAAGAACUCCGAUUGCGAAGGCAGCUUACUAAACUGCCACUGACAUUGAUGCUCGAAAGUGUGGGUAUCAAACAGGAUUAGAUACCCUUGUAGUC